rnacentral:rRNA from 1 species
CCCGUACUUGGUGUUACUGCGAAGGGGGGACGGAGAAGGCUAUGUUGGCCGGGCGACGGUUGUCCCGGUUUAAGCGUGUAGGCUGGUUUUCCAGGCAAAUCCGGAAAACUGAGGCGUGACGACGAGGCACUACGGUGCUGAAGCAACAAAUGCCCUGCUUCCAGGAAAAGCCUCUAAGCAUCAGGUAACAUCAAAUCGUACCCCAAACCGACACAGGUGGUCAGGUAGAGAAUACCAAGGCGCUUGA